AUGUGUACCGUCUCCCCGGCCUGGAGGCUUCGACCUUUCCACCACGCCCCCGUCCUCUUUCCCUUCCCGUCGCUCGCUUCCCCCCUACCCGAACCUUCUCGACUCCCUCUUCGCAUGGCCGACGCGAAGGCCGAGGCGGCGAGGCAGGCGCCGCAGUCCUCCCAGGAGGAGGAGGAGGACUGGAAGGAGGCCGAGGGGGACGUCGAGGUCGCGGACAGGUCCACGAGCAAUGGCGGCGGCGGCGGCGCCGGCGAGGGGAUCACGGACAGGCCGAUCCGGGUCUACGCCGACGGCAUCUACGACCUCUUCCACUUCGGCCACGCGCGCUCGCUCGAGCAGGCCAAGAAAUCGUUCCCUAAUGCAUAUCUUCUUGUCGGGUGCUGCAAUGAUGAGUUGACACAUCAAUACAAAGGAAGAACUGUCAUGACAGAGGACGAGAGAUAUGAAUCACUUCGCCAUUGCAAGUGGGUUGAUGAAGUCAUUCCUGACGCUCCGUGGGUAGUAACAGAAGAGUUCUUGAACAAGCAUAACAUCGAUUUUGUUGCACAUGAUUCUCUGCCGUAUCAUGAUGCUAGUGGAGCUAGUAAUGAUGUCUAUGAAUUUGUAAAAAAGCUUGGUAAAUUUAAGGAGACCAAGCGCACAGAAGGAAUAUCAACCUCAGACAUUAUAAUGAGGAUUGUUAAAGAUUAUAAUGAGUAUGUUAUGCGCAAUCUGGCCAGGGGGUACAGCAGAAAUGAUCUUGGUGUCAGCUAUGUCAAGGAAAAACGACUAAGAGUUAAUAUGGGAUUGAAAACCCUCCGUGACAAAGUGAAGCAGCACCAAGAAAAAGUAGGGGAGAAGUGGAGUACAGUGGCAAAACUCCAGGAAGAGUGGGUUGAAAACGCAGAUCGCUGGGUUGUUGGUUUUCUAGAGAAAUUCGAGGAAGGUUGCCAUUCAAUGGGAACUGCCAUCAAGGAAAGAAUCCAGGAAAGGCUGAAGGAGGCGCAGUCUAGGGACUUCAGCCUUCUACAAUACGACAGUGACGACUUUGACGACUUUGAAGAAGAAGACGAUGAAGUUGCCAAAGAUGCCAAAUACGUGAAAGAAUAG
rnacentral:rRNA from 1 species